ACUCCUACGGGAGGCAGCAGUGGGAGUAUUGCACAAUGGCGCAAGCCAUGCAUGCAGCCAUGCCGCGUGUGUGAAGAAGGCCUUCGGUUGUAAAGCACUUUCAGUCGUGAGGAAGGUAGUGUAGUUAAUAGCUGCAUUAUUUGACGUUAGCGACAGAAGAAGCACCGGCUAACUCCGUGCCAGCAGCCGCGGUAAUACGG
rnacentral:rRNA from 1 species